AGCCCAGUGGAACCCAGCCUUCCAGAGAUCCCCACACAGCCCGGGGAUGCGAGUGGAUCCCCCAGAAGAGCCCAUCUGCCAACCGAACGUCACCUACUGACCACCAUCGAAGCCACACGGAAGAGAAGAGUCACUCAGCUAAGUCGCGUGGGAACUCCUGAGCCAUGAAAUUAUAAGGUCUGGUCAAAGGACAGCUGUUUUCACUAUUGAGUUUGUGCGUAGUUUGGGACACAGCAGUGGAUAACCGUAGCACUCGGGAGGAGAAUCUAUUUUUGGUCUCCGAGGAUGGUGGGGGAGAGAGAAUCAAGAGUCUCCUAGGAAACCUCAAGGAGGUGGUUAGAGGAGUCAGCCGGAGCCGAGGGAGAGGCUGCCAGGAGCCGUGGCAUCGUCAGUGGACUGCGUCAGGGCAGCCGCCCUGGAGGCGCUGACUUAACAGACCCAAGAGACCAUGCUUCCGGUUCCCCCGCCCCCUCUUCGCCGCGCAUGCCCAGCACGUACUCAACCGCUCUGCGUGGACAGCGGGGAGUCCUGGGCCCGUGUGAACCAAUUUUUGCCAGCUCGAGGGCAUUCGGCAGAGCCUCUCCCCCCCCUUCCCUCUAAGGCUAAAGGAACCUUAUAAAUGAGGCCCAGUGUGAGGAUGGCACCCCGCCCCACCUCAGGAUGAUCUUCACGAAGUAGAGAAGAUGACUAUUUACAUGUCAACCCAGAAGGAGAGGAAGGAAAAUUAAAGAUUGGGAAAGGCCACGAAUGCAAAACAGCAAACAGACACGCUGAAAUCAACACCAGGGUCACUGAUGUUUCCAAGUUGGGUCCUCAAUUGGUGAGGGAACACGGAGGGCACGGCUUUAUUGAAAUUUGGCCUCUGGGGAGUAACCUGCCACUGCCAUCAUCUGCCUUCACCCUUCACCACCAGACCCUCCCUCCCCGCUCCCCAUGAAAGAAUUUGUCUUACCCAAAAACAAGAUAAUAAGGCCAUAAUCGUUAUUUUUCCAGAGUUCAGUUCUCCGGAUCCUAAACACAGCCUGCUCCCUGGCGGAAACAUCACAGAGGUCUAUAGAGGCUGCUUUGAGGCUUUCAGAGGCUCGGAGAGAGCCCUUCGGAGCCCAGGUACUGGUCAAAGAGCGAUAAGACUGGAAAUCUGGCUUGGGGAUGAGGUGGUAGAAGACCUCUUAGGCCCCCACUUGAGGCCACUGGCCUAGCUCUGCUUUCCAGAGUGCUCCUUUGGGGGUUGGUGUCCAUGUCAGCUGGCAAUAAAAUA